AGAGUUUGAUCCUGGCUCAGAACGAACGCUGGCGGCAGGCCUAACACAUGCAAGUCGAACGCCCCGCAAGGGGAGUGGCAGACGGGUGAGUAACGCGUGGGAACGUGCCCAAAGGUACGGAACAACUCCGGGAAACUGGAGCUAAUACCGUAUGUGCCCGCAAGGGGAAAGAUUUAUCGCCUUUGGAUCGGCCCGCGUCUGAUUAGCUAGUUGGCGGGGUAAUGGCCCACCAAGGCUACGAUCAGUAGCUGGUCUGAGAGGAUGACCAGCCACACUGGGACUGAGACACGGCCCAGACUCCUACGGGAGGCAGCAGUGGGGAAUAUUGGACAAUGGGCGCAAGCCUGAUCCAGCCAUGCCGCGUGAGUGAUGAAGGCCUUAGGGUUGUAAAGCUCUUUCGCCAGGGACGAUAAUGACGGUACCUGGAUAAGAAGCCCCGGCUAACUUCGUGCCAGCAGCCGCGGUAAUACGAAGGGGGCUAGCGUUGUUCGGAAUUACUGGGCGUAAAGCGUAUGUAGGCGGAUCGUUAAGUCGGGGGUGAAAUCCCGAGGCUCAACCUCGGAACUGCCUUCGAUACUGGCGACCUUCGAGUCCGGGAGAGGUGAGUGGAACUCCGAGUGUAGAGGUGAAAUUCGUAGAUAUUCGGAAGAACACCAGUGGCGAAGGCGGCUCACUGGCCCGGUACUGACGCUGAAAUACGAAAGCGUGGGGAGCAAACAGGAUUAGAUACCCUAGUAGUCC
rnacentral:rRNA from 1 species